AAAGUCGUAACAAGGUUUCCGUAGGUGAACCUGCGGAAGGAUCAUUACAAUUCGGUAGUUUACUACCGUUUGAAAGGGGUGGAAACUUAUCUGGGUUACCAACCAGAAGGGAGUACACCUUUUUUCUUAACCCUUGACUUUUCGCGCACUCAUGUUUCCUCGGCAGGCUUGCCUGCCGAACGGACAAAUCUAUAACCUUUUUACUGUUUAAUCAGCGUCUGAACAAUCAUAAUAAUUACAACUUUCAACAACGGAUCUCUUGGUUCUG
rnacentral:misc_RNA from 1 species